rnacentral:lncRNA from 1 species
CUCCCUUGACUCUGGUCAAUGAACGGACCAAGGACUACAACUCCCAGGGUGCCUCGCGCUUCGCCUUUCUUUCGAACUCCGGGCGAUUGAGAGAUUGGCGUCCGCGGGCCUCCGGAGCGGGAGGCCGGAGCGAGUUGGGCUCGAGUGGGGUCCGGACCUGCGGCUGUGGCUAGCGGCUGCGCCUCCGCGGGGAAUGGACCUGCAACACCAGACAAAUAAGAGAUCACCCUCUCUGAGUCCUCUCUUGCCAGGCAGGGACUGUCGGCCUUGGUAAUGCUCAGGAAGGGGAGGAUGAGCCUGAUGUGGGCAGAAUUCAAAUGAGCUGGACAGCGCCGUGAACAAGCUACAAGCAGCUCCCAGAGCCUUGAGAUGGUAGGCAGAAUGCAGACUCUCACCACUACUUCCACCCCCAAGGUCUUGACUGCCUGCAGAACUUUAGGGGCUGGGUGACAAGGGUUAGGAUAUGGUCCCCAGAGAAGAAUGAU